rnacentral:rRNA from 1 species
UGGGGAAUCUUCCGCAAUGGACGAAAGUCUGACGGAGCAACGCCGCGUGAGUGAUGACGGCCUUCGGGUUGUAAAGCUCUGUUAAUCGGGACGAAUGGUUCUUGUGCAAAUAGUGCGAGGAUUUGACGGUACCGGAAUAGAAAGCCACGGCUAACUACGUGCCAGCAGCCGCGGUAAUACGUAGGUGGCAAGCGUUGUCCGGAAUUAUUGGGCGUAAAGCGCGCGCAGGCGGAUUGGUCAGUCUGUCUUAAAAGUUCGGGGCUUAACCCCAUGGUGGGAUGGAAACUGCCAAUCUAGAGUAUCGGAGAGGAAAGGGGAAUUCCUAGUGUAGCGGUGAAAUGCGUAGAUAUUAGGAAGAACACCAGUGGCGAAGGCGACUUUCUGGACGAAAACUGACGCUGAGGCGCGAAAGCCAGGGGAGAGAACGGG